rnacentral:piRNA from 2 species
UGGAGAGGAACAAUUCUGAGUCUUAACC